GAUGAACGCUGGCGGCGUGCCUAAUACAUGCAAGUCGAGCGAACGGACGAGAAGCUUGCUUCUCUGAUGUUAGCGGCGGACGGGUGAGUAAUACGUGGAUAACCUACCUAUAAGACUGGGAUAACUUCGGGAAACCGGAGAUAAUACCGGAUGAUAUUUUGAACCGCAUGGUUCAAAAGUGAAAGCCGGUCUUGCUGUCACUUAUACAUGGAUCCGCGCUGCAUUAGCUAGUUGGUAAGGUAACGGCUUACCAAGGCAACGAUGCAUAGCUGACCUGAGAGGGUGAUCAGCCACACUGGAACUGAGACACGGUCCAGACUCCUACGGGAGGCAGCAGUAGGGAAUCUUCCGCAAUGGGCGAAAGCCUGACGGAGCAACGCCGCGUGAGUGAUGAAGGUCUUCGGAUCGUAAAACUCUGUUAUUAGGGAAGAACAUAUGUGUAAGUAACUGUGCACAUCUUGACGUUACCUAAUCAGAAAGCCACGGCUAACUACGUG
rnacentral:rRNA from 1 species